AUUGAACGCUGGCGGCAGGCCUAACACAUGCAAGUCGAGCGAGUGGCGGACGGGUGAGUAAUGUUUGGGACUCUGGCUUAUUGAGGGGGAUCACUACGAGAAACUGUAUCUAAUACCGCGUACCAUAGGAUGAGCCCAUGUGGGAUUAGCUAGUAGGUGGGGUAAAGGAUCACCUAGGCGACGAUCUCUAGCUGGUCUGAGAGGAAGAUCAGCCACACUGGGACUGAGACACGGCCCAGACUCCUACGGGAGGCAGCAGUGGGGAAUAUUGCACAAUGGGCGCAAGCCUGAUGCAGCCAUGCCGCGUGUAUGAAGAAGGCCUUAGGGUUGUAAAGUACUUUCAGCGGGGAGGCGUUACCCGCAGAAGAAGCACCGGCUAACUCCGUGCCAGCAGCCGCGGUAAUUC
rnacentral:rRNA from 1 species